rnacentral:rRNA from 1 species
AAGUUUGAUAGUGGCUCAGGAUAACGCUAGCGGGAGGCUUAAUACAUGCAAGUCGAGCGGUAAGGUUCGGACCCUAGAGCGGCGAACGGGUGAGUAACGCGUACGAAACCUACCUUUAAGAGAGGAAUAGCCCUGGGAAACUGGGAGUAAUACCUCAUAGUAUUUAUUAACCGCAUGGUUGAUAGAUUAAAGCUGAGGCGCUUAAAGAUGGUCGUGCGUCUGAUUAGCUUGUUGGUAGGGUAACGGCCUACCAAGGCUACGAUCAGUAGGGCGUGAGAGCGUGGCCCCCCACACGGGUACUGAGACACGGACCCGACUCCUACGGGAGGCAGCAGUAAGGAAUAUUGGGCAAUGGACGCAAGUCUGACCCAGCCAUCCCGCGUGCAGGACGAAUGCCCUAUGGGUUGUAAACUGCUUUUGUUUGGUGAGAAAUGUAUUCACUAAGAGUAGAUGACGGUACCAGACGAAUAAGCACCGGCUAACUCCGUGCCAGCAGCCGCGGUAAUACGGAGGGUGCAAGCGUUAUCCGGAAUCACUGGGUUAAGGGUGCGUAGGCGGCCAGAUAAGUCAGAGGUGAAAGUUUCCGGCUCAACCGGGAGAUUGCCUUUGAUACUGUUUGGCUUGAAUCAGAUUGAGGUUGGCGAUGUGACAUGUAGCGGUGAAAUGCAUAGAUAUGUCAUAGAACAUCGAUUGCGAAGGCAGCUGGCUGGAUCUGUAUUGACGCUGAGGCACGAAAGCGUGGGAGCACUGUGGAUUAGAUACCCUGGUAGUCCACGCCCUAAACGAUGUUUACUCGACAUGGGAUCUACGGAUUCUGUGUCCAAGCGAAAGCGUUAAGUAAACCACCUGGGGAGUACGUUCGCAAGAAUGAACUCAAAGGAAUUGACGGGGUCCGCACAAGCGGUGGAGCAUGUGGUUUAAUUCGAUGAUACGCGAGGAACCUUACCUGGGCUAGAAUGCGAGUGCCUGUGUGUGAAAGCAUACAUUCCUAGGGUACACAAAGCAAGGUGCUGCAUGGCACUCGUCAGCUCGUGCCUGAGGUGUUGGACCAAGUCCCGCAACGAGCGCAACCAGAAUCUUCAGUUGCCAGCAUUUAAGGUGGGGACUCUGAAGACUGCCGGCGUAAGCCGCGAGGAAGGUGGGGAUGAUGUCAAGUCAUCAUGGCCUUUAUGCCCAGGGCUACACACGUGCUACAAUGCACGGUACAACGGGUCGCGAAGCUGUGAAGCGGCUACAAUCCUAUAAAGCCGGUCUCAGUUCGGAUUGGAGUCUGGAACUCGACUCCAUGAAGGUGGAAUCGCUAGUAAUCGCGCAUCAGCCAUGGCGCGGUGAAUACGUUCCCGGACCUUGUACACACCGCCCGUCAAGCCAUGGGAGCUGGGGGUACCUGAAGAUGGUGACUUUACUGGGAGCUAUCUAAGGUAAAACUAGUGACUGGAGCUAAGUCGUUUGCAGGUAACC